GUUCCUACGGGGCGCAGCAGUGGGGGAUAUUGGACAAUGGGGGGAACCCUGAUCCAGCGACGCCGCGUGAGUGAAGAAGUAUUUCGGUAUGUAAAGCUCUGUCAGCAGGGAAGAAAGCAAUGACGGUACCUGACCAAGAAGCCCCGGCUAACUACGUGCCAGCAGCCGCGGUAAUACGUAGGGGGCAAGCGUUAUCCGGAAUUACUGGGUGUAAAGGGAGCGUAGACGGCUGUGCAAGUCUGGAGUGAAAGCCCGGGGCUCAACCCCGGGACUGCUUUGGAAACUGCCUGGCUGGAGGGCUGGAG
rnacentral:rRNA from 1 species